rnacentral:lncRNA from 1 species
GCAUAUCAGCAUAUCUUAGAUCUUCAAACAAAAAUGCUACAUUCAUCCUGUCAGUAGGAAAUAAUUUUCUUCAAGUCUGAGAGUAAAACCUAUCUCAAUCUGAACAUCUUAACACAUUCUUAAAGUACACCAAUUUUCAACUCUGAAUUACUGAGGCAAUUAUGAAUAUUAUAAUCAAUCAUGUUUUGGUUGAAUACAACUUACUUUCAGCCCUUUCCACACCAAGAAGAUAGAAAAGAAAUGGAUAGAAUCCCUGCCUGCAGCAUUUUGAUUAUCUCCAUAGUAUAACUUUGAUCUUGUAUCCGCCGUACCAGUGAACAAAGAACAAAAGCCAAACUAUCUAAAUCUAUGUCUUCCUCUCCUUUUGUGAUUUUUUCCCUUCUCCUUGGUAUGUCUAUGCCAUUAAUUUCUCACGCAUUUUCUAUUUAUGGCAUAAAUACUUCAUGUUUCUUCAUAAAAGUAUACUGUAUAUAUAGGAUUUGUAUCAUAGCCAGAGCAAGCAAGUGAUUUUUUACUGGUUUCAAUGCGGGGAAUCACUAAAUUUGUUUGAAG